UUACUUGCUAUAUAAAUGGGAAAACUCCACAGUUAAGCGCGCUUGAGCCAGAGGCGUCUUGGGAUGGGUGACCACCUGGGAAGUCCUGGUUACCGGGUGCA
rnacentral:rRNA from 1 species